rnacentral:rRNA from 1 species
AACGAAUGCUGGCGACAGGCCUUACACAUGCAAGUCGAACGUGAAAGUCCUUCGGGAUGAGUAAAGUGGCGCACGGGUGAGUAACGCGUGGGAACAUGCCCUUCAGUACGGGAUAGCAGCGGGAAACUGCUGCUAAUACCGUAUAUUCCCUACGGGGGAAAGAUUUAUCGCUGAAGGAUUGGCCCGCGUUAGAUUAGCUAGUUGGUGAGGUAAUGGCUCACCAAGGCUACGAUCUAUAGCCGGUCUGAGAGGACGAUCGGCCACACUGGAACUGAGACACGGUCCAGACUCCUACGGGAGGCAGCAGUGGGGAAUAUUGGACAAUGGGCGAAAGCCUGAUCCAGCCAUGCCGCGUGAGUGAUGAAGGCCUUAGGGUUGUAAAGCUCUUUUGGCGGGGAAGAUAAUGACGGUACCCGCAGAAUAAGCCCCGGCUAACUUCGUGCCAGCCGCCGCGGUAA